rnacentral:lncRNA from 1 species
UUUUUCCAAAUUAACGCGCUUUCUAAAGGACUCACCCUGGUGCCUUUUUGUCUUUUUUGGGCAAUUGACCCAAACAAAAACUCAUUAUUUUAAUGUAAUGGAGCACGAGGACCUUAUGUUAAAUUCUAUAUGGUUGAUAUUAGGGCAUGGGUCCCACUAAAACCCUAAAACCCACACUCCAACGCCGCCCAAUCCCUCUCAUGUGUCAUCACUACGCUAUUGCUAGGUAACUUGUUUGAACUUUGAGGUAAAGAAUUUGUAUAUUACAACAUUUUUUAUUGCUUACUUGUUUGGAGUAAAGUAGUUGCAAUUAAAACAUAUUUUAUUUAGGUUAUGUUUGAUUUUUGGAAAAUACGGAAAGAAAAAAAAUUAUAAAGAAAAAUGAUUUUUGUAGGUUUAGUUUUCCUAUAAAAAAAUUCAAAAAAAAGUUAAAUAUUAUUAAAAUUAGUUAAAAAUUUAUAUAUUUUAAAAUUAUUUAAUCUUUAUAUAAUGGAGGAAAUGAAGUGAAAUGAGUUUGAAAAAAUAUAUAAAAAUAAUUUAUUAAUUUUAAAUUUAUAUUUUAUUUUUUUUCCUUCCAUUUUUUCUCUUUAUUUUAUUUCCCUCGCAUUUUUCCUCAAAAUUGAUGAGAAUCAAACGUAGCCUUAAAAAAUUUCAAUUUAGAGAUUUUGUUUUUAUCUAAAUAAAUAUGCACGUACUUGAUUUUUUAUAAUUAAUUUAUUUAUUCUAUAGUUGUUAACUCUGAGAAUUUUUUUAGAGAAUAUGGGAGUGGUUUUUCACGUGCAUCACAUGUUUUGCAAGUUUUUGUUUUUUAAUUUAUUAAUUAAAUAUUUCUUAAUUAAAGAAUAUAUAAAAAAUAAAUUUAUUUUGUAGAUGAAAAUUAAAAGGAUUAUCUAUUUACUCCCUCAUAUUAGUUUCAUGAUAUAAAGUUCUAAACUUUCAUUUAAAAAACAACAAUCUUUAUCUAAAUUUUUGUGAAGUAAUUAUUGAUAAAUUUAAUAAAGAGAAAUGAUAAUUUCCAAUAAAAUUGUCAUCUUCAAAAAGAAUUUAUUGAGUGUCAUAAAAAUAAAGAAUCAUUCCCUCUUUAAGUAAAUAAUUUCAAAAAUGACUUAUCUUAUAAGGAAAAAGUUUUAGUCCAAAAAAAGAAAAAUUAAACAAAAAACUUGGAGUGAUUGAGAGUCAAAUCAAAGUAAUUCAUCGUACUCAAAUGAGACUAGGAAUCAUCCAAAUAAUCACUUUAUAGUGUUUCUUGUGCCAAUUAAUUCUAAUUUUGAUUAUAUGCAUAAUUUAAAGUUUGAUGGUGAUAGUGAAUGCAAUUUUGAUAGUAUCCAUGGUGCUUAUGAAGUCUCAUUUGAAGAAAGUCCAAAAAUUAAAGUUGAAAGUGUGAAAGUAAAUAAUUUGAUUUAAUCGCUUAAAACUAAAAAUAUCAUACCUUGUCAAUGAGCUUGCAACCUUAGAAAUUGAAAAAGAAGAAUUUUCUAAGAAGGUAAAGUUUCUAGAGGCUAAAUAUAAUAAUAUAAUUAAUAAAAGUUAAAGUUUCAACCCUUGAAAUUGAAAAGAUGAAAAAGAGACUUAACUUAUAAAAAAAAAUAAAAAAAGACACAUCCAAGUAUUAAAUUAUUGAAAAAUUUGAUAAAUUUGGAUAAGAUUUCAUAUGUAUUUACAAUAAAAUAAAAGUGUUAGAAUCUAUGACUUAUUAUAUAGGUUUCUCAUGAAUUGGUAUUAUUAAUCUAAUAAAGUAAAUGUUAUUAACCUCUGAAGUCUCCAAUCAUUCUACUGUUUAAUUAAAUGACUAAUUCUGGUUCAUAAUGAGCUUAUGUUAAGUUUCAAUUAAGAAAUUAUUACGAUGAUGAUUUCUUGAACAUGGUCUUAUGUUAAAUUCUAUGUGGUUGACCCAAACAAAAACUCAUUAUUUUAAUGUAAUGGAGCACGAGGACCUUAUGUUAAAUUCUAUGUGGUUGGUAUUAGGGCAUGGGUCCCACUAAAACCCUAAAACCCACACUCCAACGCCGACCAAUCCCUCUCAUGUGUCAUCACUACACUAUUGCUAGGUAACUUGUUUGAACUUUGAGGUAAAGAAUUUGUAUAUUAGAACAUUUUUUUAUAGCUUUAAUUUGGAGUAAAGUACUUGUAAUUAAAACAUAUUUUAUUUAGGUUAUGUUUGGUUC